rnacentral:rRNA from 1 species
AUUGAACGCUGGCGGCAGGCCUAACACAUGCAAGUCGAACGAGUGGCGGACGGGUGAGUAAUGUCUGGGAAACUGCCUGAUGGAGGGGGAGAUCAACUGUAAACGGUAGCUAAUACAGCAUACCAUCAGAUGUGCGCAGAUGGGAUUAGCUAGUUGGUGGGGUAACGGCUCACCACGGCGACGAUCCCUAGCUGGUCUGAGAGAAUGACCAGCCACACUGGAACUGAGACACGGUCCAGACUCCUACGGGAGGCAGCAGUGGGGAAUAUUGCACAAUGGGCGAAAACCUGAUGCAGCCAUGCCGCGUGUGUGAAGAAGGCCUUCGGGUUGUAAAGCACUUUCAGCGAGGAGGCGUUACCCGCAGAAGAAGCACCGGCUAACUCCGUGCCAGCAGCCGCGGUAAUAC